AACGAACGUUAGCGGCGCGCUUAACACAUGCAAGUCGCACGAGAAAGGGCUUCGGCCCCGGUAAAGUGGCGCACGGGUGAGUAACACGUGGAUAACCUACCCUUGAGCAGGGGAUAACAUCCCGAAAGGGGUGCUAAUACCGCAUAAGACCACGGCUCCGAAAGGAGCUGAGGUAAAAGCUGGCCUCUAUAUAUAAGCUAGCACUUGAGGACGGGUCCGCGGCGCAUCAGGUAGUUGGCGGGGUAAUGGCCCACCAAGCCUUAGACGCGUAGCUGGUCUGAGAGGAUGAUCAGCCACACUGGAACUGAGACACGGUCCAGACUCCUACGGGAGGCAGCAGUGGGGAAUCUUGCGCAAUGGACGAAAGUCUGACGCAGCGACGCCGCGUGUGUGAUGAAGGCCUUGGUCGUAAGCACUGUGGGAGAGAAGAAUAAGCAAAGGACCAAUAACCCUUUCGUGAUGACGGUAGUACUCCUUAGUCAAGCACCGGCUAAC
rnacentral:rRNA from 1 species